GAGCGCAACCCUCGCCCCGUGUUGCCAGCGGAUUGUGCCGGGAACUCACGGGNNACCGCCGGGGUUAACUCGGAGGAAGGUGGGGAUGACGUCAGAUCAUCAUGCCCCUUACGUCCAGGGCUUCACGCAUGCUACAAUGGCCGGUACAACGGGAUGCGACAGUGCGAGCUGGAGCGGAUCCCUGAAAACCGGUCUCAGUUCGGAUCGCAGUCUGCAACUCGACUGCGUGAAGGCGGAGUCGCUAGUAAUCGCGAAUCAGCAACGUCGCGGUGAAUGCGUUCCCGGGCCUUGUACACACCGCACGUCAAGNCAUNAAAGUGGGCAGCACCCNAANCCGGUGGCCNNNNNCNUUGCGGGAGGGAGCCGUCUAAGGUGAGGC
rnacentral:rRNA from 1 species